UUUUGUAAGAGCACGCGCAUGUUUUGCGGGGAAGGAUUCUGGAUCAGCACCAUGAUGCAAACUCGUAGCCACUGUGUAUACAGUAUUCUGGAAAAGGUUCUGUAUUCAGCUGACAUGAUGAUGCUGCUCAUCUUCAUCUCCAGCUGUGUGGGUGGAGCAGCAGCAGAGGUGGAGGCUGAGGAUGGUGUGGAUGAUCAGGAGCUUCACUCUGAAUCCUGACCUCCUCCAUGUGCUUCAGUGACUUCUGCCUCCAUAAUUUGGUCACCAUGGCGACCAGCUGGAUGAUUGGUGUCCCUCCUCUCACUUUCUGAGGAUGUCAGUGGAGCCGGUGGAGCUUUUGUUACCAGAGAUGGGAUCAGAUCUGAGGAGGCAGAGGAAUCAUUUCAGAGAGUCUGUCCAUAGUUGUUUUCAACACUGGUGUGUUCGAACUGUGAGCACCCUUUUAGCUAAAUGCAGUGAUCUGAUUGGUCAGAUCUGUUUAUUUGUACGCAAAAAUCAGGAAAAUCAAACUUUUACAGGAAAAAGUAAAUGCCUCAAAUUUGUGCUGUGACAUCAGGCGAUGUGUGAACAGCUGCAUUAAAAUUCAUGAGUCUGAAAAAUAUUUUUAACACAUGAAAAGAGCUGCUCCUUACUGAACCCGACCCUGCAGAGCACUGAGGGCAUCCUGUCCAGCUUCAGGACCACCUGGCAGGAGUUUGUGGAGGACCUGGGCUUCUGCUGGUCAUCGCCCUCCUCUCCCUGGGCCUCGGCUACUACGUCAGCAGAGUCCUGCCUUUCUCAGGGUGGAGAGGAGGCAGCAAAAUAGAUGAAGAUCUUUAUGUAGAACAAAAACUCUGGUAUUUAUUUGUUGUGCAAAUCUGAUCAUUUUAUUGGAAUAUGAACAACAUCAUGUGAUGCUGCCAGUGCAAAGAAGAGAGGACGGUGACUCAGAGACACCAACAGCUUCAUGUGUGGCCUAACACCUUUACAAGCACUCACUGAUAAAGUCACUUUUACAUCCCUGUUUGCUCUGUUACAAGCUGUAUAUUACUGAUGUUUUGUAUCUUUUCAUUGUUUUCUCCUCACUUGUUAUUUAUUCAAAUGUUGUUGGUAUGAAUUUUUCCCUCGCUGUCUUUAUUUCACACAAAUACCUGCAGCCUUUCUGACUGGAAACAGUUUUGUCAGGAUAACAGAGCCGACUGCAGAGAAACACCUGGACUGAGUUUAGAUGAAGCUUCAGGUUUAACUGUGGGAUUAUGGCAGCAGAUUAAUGCUUCUUACUUUGUUGUAUAUUCAUUUUAUCUUAAUGUGCUUUUGUUAAAGGUUUUCAGUGUUUAUUCCAUCAAACAUUUGAAGUCAUUUAAUGUGCAAAAUGAAUAAAUUCAUGACUGUAAUCUGCA